rnacentral:rRNA from 1 species
AUUGAACGCUGGCGGCAGGCCUAACACAUGCAAGUCGAACGAGUGGCGGACUGGUGAGUAAUGUCUGGGAAACUGCCUGAUGGAGGGGGAUAACUACUGGAAACGGUAGCUAAUACCGCAUACCAUCGGAUGUGCCCAGAUGGGAUUAGCUUGUUGGUUGGGUAACGGCUCACCAAGGCGACGAUCCCUAGCUGGUCUGAGAGGAUGACCAGCCACACUGGAACUGAGAAACGGUCCAGACUCCUACGGGAGGAAGCAGUGGGGAAUAUUGCACAAGGGGCGCAAGCCUGAUGCAGACAUGCGGCGUGUAUGAGGAAGGCCGUCGGGUUGUAAGGUACUUUCAGCGGGGAGGCGGUACCCGCAGAAGAAGCACCGGCUAACUCCGUGCCAGCAGCCGCGGUAAUUC